rnacentral:pre_miRNA from 8 species
AUAUACACACACGUAUAUGUAUAUGUGUGUGUAUAUAUAUACACACACGUAUAUGUAUAUAUGUGUGUAUAUA